rnacentral:rRNA from 1 species
GGGUCAGUAGGUUGGUCGUGCCACCGGUACGUACUGGUCUCACUGAUUCCUCCUUCCUGAAGAACCGUAAUGCCAUUAAUUUGGUGUUGCGGGGAAACAGGACUGUUACUUUGAAAAAAUUAGAGUGUUUAAAGCAAGCUAACGCUUGAAUACAUUAGCAUGGAAUAAUGAAAUAGGACGAUCGAUCCUAUUUUGUUGGUUUCUAGGAUUGACGUAAUGAUUAAUAGGGGUUAGUUGGG